rnacentral:misc_RNA from 1 species
UCCUCCGCUUAUUGAUAUGCUUAAGUUCAGCGGGUAUUCCUACCUGAUCCGAGGUCAACAUUCAGAAGUUGGGGUUUAACGGCGUGGCCGCGACGAUUACCAGUAACGAUAUGUAAAUUACUACGCUAUGGAAGCUCGACGUGACCGCCAAUGUAUUUGGGGAGUACAGCAGGACUGCAGCUCCCAACACCAAGCUGGGCUUGAGGGUUGAAAUGACGCUCGAACAGGCAUGCCCGCCAGAAUACUGGCGGGCGCAAUGUGCGUUCAAAGAUUCGAUGAUUCACUGAAUUCUGCAAUUCACAUUACUUAUCGCAUUUUGCUGCGUUCUUCAUCGAUGCCAGAACCAAGAGAUCCGUUGUUGAAAGUUUUGAUUUAUUUGUUUUUUAUACUCAGAAGUUCCACUAAAAACAGAGUUUAGGGUUCCUGCGGCGGGCCGUCCCUUUUUACGGGGCGCGGGCUGAUCCGCCGAGGCAACAUAAGGUAUGUUCACAGGGGUUUGGGAGUUGUAAACUCGGUAAUGAUCCCUCCGCUGGUUCACCAACGGAGACCUUGUUACGACUUUUACUUCCUCUAAAUGACCAAG